AACGAACGCUGGCGGCAGGCCUAACACAUGCAAGUCGAGCGCCCCGCAAGGGGAGCGGCGGACGGGUGAGUAACGCGUGGGAAUAUGCCCUUUGCUACGGAAUAGUCUCGGGAAACUGGGGGUAAUACCGUAUACGCCCUUUGGGGGAAAGAUUUAUCGGCGAAGGAUUAGCCCGCGUUGGAUUAGGUAGUUGGUGGGGUAAUGGCCUACCAAGCCGACGAUCCAUAGCUGGUUUGAGAGGAUGAUCAGCCACACUGGGACUGAGACACGGCCCAGACUCCUACGGGAGGCAGCAGUGGGGAAUCUUAGACAAUGGGGGCAACCCUGAUCUAGCCAGGCCGCGUGAGUGAUGAAGGCCUUAGGGUUGUAAAGCUCUUUCAGCUGGGAAGAUAAUGACGGUACCAGCAGAAGAAGCCCCGGCUAACUCCGU
rnacentral:rRNA from 1 species